GACGAACGCUGGCGGCGUGCCUAAUACAUGCAAGUCGAACGAGAGCACCCGGUGCUUGCACUGGUCAAUCUAGUGGCGAACGGGUGAGUAACACGUGGGUAACCUGCCCAUCAGAGGGGGAUAACAUCCGGAAACGGAUGCUAAAACCGCAUAGGUCUUCGAACCGCAUGGUUUGAAGAGGAAAAGAGGCGCAAGCUUCUGCUGAUGGAUGUACCCGCGGUGCAUUAGCUAGUUGGUGAGGUAACGGCUCACCAAGGCCGUGAUGCAUAGCCGACCUGAGAGGGUGAUCGGCCACAUUGGGACUGAGACACGGCCCAAACUCCUACGGGAGGCAGCAGUAGGGAAUCUUCCGCAAUGGACGCAAGUCUGACGGAGCAACGCCGCGUGAGUGAAGAAGGUUUUCGGAUCGUAAAACUCUGUUGUUAGAGAAGAACAAGUGCUAGAGUAACUGUUAGCGCCUUGACGGUAUCUAACCAGAAAGCCACGGCUAACUACGUG
rnacentral:rRNA from 1 species